rnacentral:rRNA from 1 species
UACGGGGGGUGCAAACGUUGCUCGGAAUCAUUGGGCGUAAAGCGCACGUAGGCGGCUCGUUAAGUCGGAUGUGAAAGCCCUGGGCUUAACCCAGGAAGUGCAUACGAAACUGGCGAGCUUGAAUAUGGAAGAGGGUCGCGGAAUUCCCGGUGUAGAGGUGAAAUUCGUAGAUAUCGGGAGGAACACCAGUGGCGAAGGCGGCGACCUGGGCCAAUAUUGACGCUGAGGUGCGAAAGCGUGGGGAGCAAAGCAGGAUUGAGAUACC